rnacentral:tRNA from 1 species
ACUUGGAUAUCUUAUGUAGAGUACAACACUGAAGAUGUUGUUGAGGCUGUUAUGCCUUCAGGUG